rnacentral:misc_RNA from 1 species
GAAGGGGAAUUUGAAUUUGACUUUAUGCUGGCAUAGUUAUAAUUUUUCGCUUGAAACACAAAUCUAAAUCUACCUUCAUUUGAAAUACUCACCUAUCCAAAUGGAUCCUUGGGGUAUUGUUCCUUAUUUUCUUGUUCUUUGUAUCUAUCAACAAAAGGUACAACAGCGAGCUACACAAGACCAGAUUGCGUACUUUGGACAGACCCCAUCCCAA